GUAAUGCUAGAAAGUCUUACAUUGUGAAACGGAGGAAGUAACAUCUGUAGAAUUUUCAUCAGAAUACUACCUGUGUGGCUGUGAUAUCAAUUUUCUGUAAUUGAAUUCCUUGUGCUGUUGAACCGUUGAGAACUCCGCAUAUUAAACCCUGUAUUUCUCCCUAGCAAAUCUUAUUAGAGAUACUGAUUCCUACAGUACUCUCAUUGAUCUUUGUUGGCUGUAGGCUACCAGUAAUGGCAUGUGAAGCUCGGUUCAUCAAGAAAGCGAGAGGUUUUGUCGUCGUGGUGAUUCCAUCUGUUCCUUGGUAAUUGUGCCAGAUGUUCCCUGCACAUCAAGUCCUGGAAAGCCUGGGGCAUAUCUGUUUUCGACAUAAAAGGUCCAAGUGCUGUUACUAGCUUUGUCCGUCUUUCAGCAAUGGUAAAAGUUGGAGAUAUGUUUUCGACAUAAAUAAAUAAUCACCGUUGCAUACUGUCAGUUCAUCAGGUAAAUGUAGUGUCCGUGGAUAAUGCGGACUAGAGAUGAUUGCUUGUGACCUUGUCAUACACUAAAGUUGUGAAUUGAUAGAAGUCACAGAGCUGUCUAAGUUCAUCAAGUAAAUGCAGUGUUAGUGGAUAAUAAAUGUCAGAUCUGAUUGACACUAAAGUUGCAAACUAGGAGUAUCUUAGUUCAUCAGGUAAAUUAUAUGUCAGUCGAUUACAAGUAUACAAGUUAGAGCUGAUUGACACUAAAGUGGUAAACUGUCUUUUCAUCAGGUAAAUGUUGUGUUGGUGGAUAAUACAAGUCAGAGCUGAUUGACACUAAAGCUGCAAACUAUUGACACUAAAGCUGCAAACUAUCUUAGUUCAUCAGGUAAAUAAUAUGUCUGUCGAUUACAAGUAUACAAGUUAGAGCUGAUUGACACUAAAGUUGUAAACUGUCUUUUCAUCAGGUAAAUGCUGUGUUGGUGGAUAAUACAAGUCAGAGUUGAUUGACAUGAAAGUUGCACACUGUCUUAGUUCAUUAGGUGAAUGAACUGCAAGGUGAAAUGGCAAGUGAUCAAGUAUCAACGUUUGCUCCUUAAGUCAUCACAUACGAGGUAAUGGAUUUGUACGAAUAGAAACAAAACAGGAAGAUACUGUAAUGGGAGUACGGGACUAUUUAGUUGUUCAGGCAUUCCGAUACCCAGUAUAUGAAGGCAGGAGCCAGGGACAACAUGAUAUGGUUGCCACUAAGGACAGAUGAAUCUGGCACACAGACACAGUGGUCUACUACCGAUUAUUGCAUCUUGUGUAGACAUGUUUCAGGACUAAAGCCACCUCUCUCUCUUCCUACGGGUCUCUCCCUCUUUACAAACUGCAGUGCAUGUGCAUGGAAAAGUUUUCGGUGGUUACCCUGGGGGAAUAUGGUCUCUAAUUGUCCACAUAACAACAGAGCAGUGCACAGUGUGUGUCAGCAGGAAAUGCGGCAGCCAACCAUCAAGCACACCAUGGACUCUGGGGAAUCCAGUUCUUUCAAAGAUGGAUUCAGUAUUUGAAAUCUUUUUAGUUACAGUGAUGGCAUUUGGUCUUGAGUACUGAAAACUGGCCGUAUCAUCCUCCAAAAAGAACAAGAACGGGUCGAACUACCAAUGCUGAUUUGUUUUCUAGCUGAAACCAAGAUUAAGAUCCUGAAUCCUGAGUUUUUUUUCGAUCAGUUUAUAAGUGGGGUAAGAAAGUCUUCAUGUUAGCUGAUUAUCCGUUAAUCAAGGCGUCCUUAUUAUGUUGAGUUUAACUGUUUAAGUAAGCAGUUCAGCUGCAGAUUUUUCCUCUUAGUGGUAAACCUGUUUG